UACGUAGGGUGCGAGCGUUGUCCGGAUUUAUUGGGCGUAAAGAGCUCGUAGGCGGCUUGGCAAGUCGGGUGUGAAACCUCCAGGCUCAACCUGGAGACGCCACUCGAUACUGCCAUGGCUAGAGUCCGGUAGGGGACCACGGAAUUCCUGGUGUAGCGGUGAAAUGCGCAGAUAUCGGGAGGAACACCAGUGGCGAAGGCGAUCACCUGGGGUUGUUCUGACGCUGAGGAGCGAAAGCUAGGGGAGCAAACAGG
rnacentral:rRNA from 1 species